UACGUAGGCGGAAAAUUAAGUCAGUAGUGAAAUCCUGCAGCUUAACUGUAGAACUGUUAUUGAUACUGGUUUUCUUGAAUAUAGUUGAGGUAGGCGGAAUGUGUAAUGUAGCGGUGAAAUGCUUAGAUAUUACACAGAACACCGAUUGCGAAGGCAGCUUACUAAGCAAUGAUUGACGCUGAGGUACGAAAGCGUGGGGAGCGAACAGGAUUAGAUACCCUGGUAGUCU
rnacentral:rRNA from 1 species